GUGAAUCAUCGAAUCUUUGAACGCACAUUGCGCUCUCUGGCAUUCCGGAGAGCAUGCCUGUUUGAGUAUCGGUAAAUCCUCUCGAACCAAAUAUUUAUUUUUUGGUUUGGAUAUGAGUUAUCCCAUCUACACUUUUCUUCCAAAGAGAAGUUCUUCUGGGUGACUUUAAAGGAAUUGUUUGGCUCGCAACACCGAAAAAAGGGUCCGGGCGACCGAAAAGCGUGACAAGGACUCUUUCUGUGAAUGGCUCUGGCUAUUUUGGAGAAGUUUUCAAGACGCUGAACUCGUGUUCGUUUUUCU
rnacentral:misc_RNA from 1 species